UGGGGAAUUUUGCGCAAUGGGGGAAACCCUGACGCAGCAACGCCGCGUGCGGGACGAAGGCCUUCGGGUUGUAAACCGCUUUCAGCAGGGAAGACAUCGACGGUACCUGCAGAAGAAGCCCCGGCUAACUACGUGCCAGCAGCCGCGGUAACACGUAGGGGGCGAGCGUUAUCCGGAUUCAUUGGGCGUAAAGCGCGCGUAGGCGGCCGCUCAAGCGGGACCUCUAAUCCCGGGGCUCAACCCCGGGCCGGGUCCCGAACUGGGCGGCUCGAGUCAGGUAGAGGCAGGCGGAAUUCCCGGUGUAGCGGUGAAAUGCGCAGAUAUCGGGAAGAACACCGAUGGCGAAGGCAGCCUGCUGGGCCUUGACUGACGCUGAGGCGCGAAAGCCGGGGGAGCGAACA
rnacentral:rRNA from 1 species